ensembl:snRNA U6 U6 spliceosomal RNA
UUGCUUUGGCAGCACUCAUACUAAAGCUGGAAUGAGACAGACAAGAUUAACUUGGACCCUAUUAUAGAAUGACAAACAAAUUUAUGAAGUGAUCCAUAUGUUA